CUGCCUAAGCACUUUUUCCCUC
rnacentral:siRNA from 1 species